UAUUAAAGUUGUUGCAGUUAAAAAGCUCGUAGUCGGAUUUUGGCAUCACGCCGUACUGUCUGCCGAUUGGUAUGCACGGUUUGGCGGGUGCUUCCUUCCGGAGGCUCGUUCCCCCCUUAACUGAAGGGUUCGUUGGUUCCGGUUCUUUUACUUUGAGAAAAUUAGAGUGUUCAAAGCAGGCCUAUGCUCUGAAUAGGUUAGCAUGGAAUAAUAGAAUAGGACUUUGGUUCUAUUUUGUUGGUUUCUAGGACCGAAGUAAUGAUUAAUAGGGACAGUUGGGGGCAUUCAUAUUCCAUUGUCAGAGGUGAAAUUCUUGGAUUAACGGAAGAUGAACUUCUGCGAAAGCAUCUGCCAAGGAUGUUUUCAUUGAUCAAGAACGAAAGUUAGGGGAUCGAAGACGAUCAGAUACCGUCGUAGUCUUAACCAUAAACUAUGCCGACUAGGGAUGUGGAGGUGUUAACUUUGUACGACCCUCCAUGCACCUUAUGAGAAAUCAAAGUCUAUGGGUUCCGGGGGGAGUAUGGUCGCAAGGCUGAAACUUAA
rnacentral:rRNA from 1 species